rnacentral:misc_RNA from 1 species
UGGUUCUGGCAUCGAUGAAGAACGCAGCGAAAUGCGAUAAGUAAUGUGAAAUGCAGAAUUCAGUGAAUCAUCGAAUCUUUGAACGCACAUUGCGCCCUCUGGUAUUCCGGGGGGCAUGCCUGCUCGAGCGUCAUUACAACCCUCAAGCUCUGCUUGGUAUUGGGCGUCACUGCUUUGGUGCACCCUAAAAUCAGUGGCGGUGUCACCUGGCUCCUAGCGUAGUAUACUUCUCGCUACUGAGCUUGGGUGUAUGCUUGCCAUAACCCCUAAUUUCAAAGGUUGACCUCGGAUCAGGUAGGGAUACCCGCCGA